UACGUAGGUGGCAAGCGAUACUCGGAAUCACUAGGCGUAAAGCGCAGGUAGGCGGUUUGGUAAGUCUUUUGUGAAAGCUCCUGGCUCAACUGGGAGAGGUCAAAGGAAACUACUAGACUAGAGUGUGGUAGGGGAUACUGGAAUUCCUGGUGUAGCGGUGAAAUGCGUAGAUAUCAGGAGGAAUACCUAUGGCGAAAGCAGGUAUCUGGGCCAUCACUGACGCUGAGCUGCGAAAGCUAGGGGAGCAAACAGG
rnacentral:rRNA from 1 species